GAGGCGCCCUGUCCGUGGCCGGCCUGUAUCUCGGGCCCGCCCAGAAUUCCCAGACGGUGCCCGGUUGCCAGGCCCUGGGCUGGAGCGGUGUCUCUUCCUUCCUAGGAAUGGAUGUGCCGCGCGGAGACUGCGCCCGGCUGGGGCGGGGCCGAAUGGUGCGUUUUAGAUAGUCACAACUUAGCCGCCUCCUUUUCCAUCCGCGAUUUUUUUGGAGGUUAAAAGUACCACUGCUAUGGAAGUACCACUACUAGAUGAAAGUUUGAGCUGGAUGUGGUGGCUCACACCUGUAAUCCCAGCACUUUGGGAGGCCAAGGCAGCAGAGCCCUUACCAGAAGCCAGUGGCAUGCUCUUGAACUUCCCAGCCUGCAGAACUAUGAGCUAAAAUUCUCCACUUUACCAAUACUUACAGGAUCUGGGACACACAGACUUUGAAAUAUGUUCUUCUUUGUCACCAAAAACAGAAAAAUGCACAACAGAGGGACAACAAAAGCCUCCUACAAGAGUCCUACCAAAAUACCUGGGAUAUAGUAAUCACUCAAUGAAUAUAAACUGCACUUACUGGCAUGCUCAAGGAAUGGGCUAUUAAGCAAGGUAUCCUGUUAAAAGUGGCUGAAACCAUCAAAAGUUGGAUUUUUUUUUCUCAGUGCAAUAAGAAAGAUGACUUACUUCACAAGUUGGAUAUUGGAUUCCGACUCGACUCAUUACAUACCAUCCUGCAACAGGAAGUCCUGUUACAAGAGGAUGUGGAGCUGAUUGAGCUACUUGAUCCCAGUAUCCUGUCUGCAGGGCAAUCUCAACAACAGGAAAAUGGACACCUUCCAACACUUUGCUCCCUGGCAACCCCUAAUAUUUGGGAUCUCUCAAUGCUAUUUGCCUUCAUUAGCUUGCUCAUUAUGCUUCCUACUUGGUGGAUUGUGUCUUCCUGGCUGGUAUGGGGAGUUAUUCUAUUUGUGUAUCUGGUCAUAAGAGCUUUGAGAUUAUGGAGGACAGCCAAACUACAAGUGACCCUAAAAAAAUACAGUAUUCAUUUGGAAGAUAUGGCCACAAACAGCCGAGCUUUUACUAACCUUGUGAGAAAAGCUUUACGUCUCAUUCAAGAAACCGAAGUGAUUUCCAGAGGAUUUACACUUUUGCUUGACAGGGUCAGUGCUGCUUGCCCAUUUAAUAAAGCUGGACAGCAUCCAAGUCAGCAUCUCAUCGGUCUUCGGAAAGCUGUCUACCGAACUCUAAGAGCCAACUUCCAAGCAGCAAGGCUAGCUACCCUAUAUAUGCUGAAAAACCCCUGAACUCUGAGAGUGACAAUGUAACCAACUACAUCUGUGUGGUGCCUUUUAAGGAGCUGGGCCUUGGACUUAGUGAAGAGCAGAUUUCAGAAGAGGAAGCACAUAACUUUACAGAUGGCUUCAGCCUGCCUGCAUUGAAGGUUUUGUUCCAACUCUGGGUGGCACAGAGUUCAGAGUUCUUCAGACGGUUAGCCCUAUUACUUUCUACAGCAAGUUCACCUCCUGGGCCCUUACUUACUCCAGCACUUCUGCCUCAUCGUAUCUUAUCUGAUGUGACUCAAGGUCUACCUCACGCUCAUUCUGCCUGUUUGGAAGAGCUUAAGCGCAGCUAUGAGUUCUAUCGGUACUUUGAAACUCAGCACCAGUCAGUACCACAGUGUUUAUCCAAAACUCAACAAAAGUCAAGAGAACUGAAUAAUGUUCACACAGCAGUACGUAGCUUGCAGCUCCAUCUGAAAGCAUUACUGAAUGAGGUAAUAAUUCUUGAAGAUGAACUUGAAAAGCUUGUUUGUACUAAAGAAACACAAGAACUAGUGUCAGAGGCUUAUCCCAUCCUAGAACAGAAAUUAAAGUUGAUUCAGCCCCACGUUCAAGCAAGCAACAAUUGCUGGGAAGAGGCCAUUUCUCAGGUCGACAAACUGCUACGAAGAAAUACGGAUAAAAAAGGCAAGCCUGAAAUAGCAUGUGAAAACCCACAUUGUACAGUAGUACCUUUGAAGCAGCCUACUCUACACAUUGCAGACAAAGAUCCAAUCCCAGAGGAGCAGGAAUUAGAAGCUUAUGUAGAUGAUAUAGAUAUUGAUAGUGAUUUCAGAAAGGAUGAUUUUUAUUACUUGUCUCAAGAAGACAAAGAGAGACAGAAGCGUGAGCAUGAAGAAUCCAAGAGAGUGCUCCAAGAAUUAAAAUCUGUGCUGGGAUUUAAAGCUUCAGAGGCAGAAAGGCAGAAAUGGAAGCAACUUCUAUUUAGUGAUCAUGUGUUUUCUUCAUAUAGCUUUAAAGUUAUGCUAUUGACAUUAUGGGAAAAGAUUUUAUCAAUGAGAGAAAUGUAUCUCUUUUUCAGCCGUGUUGAAAUCCUUGUCUCCUGUAGACCCAGUGGAACCCAUAAGUAAUUCAGAACCAUCAGUGAAUUCAGAUAUGGGAAAAGUCAGUAAAAAUGAUACUGAAGAGGAAAGUAGUAAAUCCACCACAUCAGACAAUGAAAUAAGUAGGACUGAGUAUUUAUGUGAAAACUCUCUAGAAGGUAAAAAUACAGAUAAUUCUUCAAAUGAAGUCUUCCCCCAAGAAGCAGAAGAAAGAAUGUGUUACCAGUGUGAGAGUGAAGAUGAACUGCAAGCAGAUGGAAGUGGUCUGACCACUGCCCCUCCAACUCCCAGGGACUCAUUACAGCCCUCCAUUAAGCAGAGGCUGGCACGGCUACAGCUGUCACCGGAUUUUACCUUCACUGCUGGCCUUGCUGCAGAAGUGGCUGCUAGAUCUCUCUCCUUUACCACCAUGCAGGAACAGACUUUUGGUGAUGAGGAGGAAGAACAAAUAAUAGAAGAAAAUAAAAAUGAGAUAGAAGAAAAGUAAGAACCAAGAUUCAUAUGAAGUGAUUUUAGAUUGUUCCUUUUACAAAAGUGUUUAGCUUCAAGACUGGAAAGGGAAUAUGAGUGUAAGUUUACUAUAUAUAAAGCUAAGAUGUGGAUUUACAGGAAGAACCCUGGUUUGAAUAACUGAUCUGAAAGUAGUAGUUACCUGUAAAUGGCAGAUCUUUUAGGAAAAUAAGAGAAAGGUAAGGGCUCUUUUGAAUAAACUGCUGUUUUAUUUGUGGCACAACUGAUCAAUCUUGGAAAUUCUUUAAGUAUUUUUAAUAAGAAAUGAAUUAUCAUUUCUUGCCAGAAUUUGCUACCAUAAGGUGAUUGGGAAAAUUCUGUUGCAAGAACAUUAACAUUUAGUAUGACUCCUUUUUACUGUAUUCUUGCAGUUAAUAACUGCAGCUAUUAUGUUAAUAACAAGUUGUUUGUAUUUUAUUUUUGUUUAUACCAGUCUUAAAACAAAGAUCCAGGUUCUGAAUAAAAAAAUUAAUUGAUACAA